CCCUUCUCGGCUCAGUUGGUAGAGCGCGUCACUAGUAUGGGGUCUAGAGGUUGGUCAGUCGUUCGAGUCGGCUAGAGGGAA
rnacentral:tRNA from 1 species